CGUGUGGGGCCCGCCCACUCGGCCCCUAAGGAGGAUGCAGGCCCGGGGGGGGAUCCUGCCCCUCUCAUCCCAUGGGAUGGAAACAACAUUGGAAACAACAAAUAGUUGCAAACGCUCGAGAGAAAACCACAACCCUGGAAGCGCUUGGAGCAAACACUGAGUAUUUAAUGAGCUGCUGGACCUGAACUAGGGGCCAAGAGGCCGGUGGGAUCCCGGGCUGUGUUAGGAGGAGCGUCGGUGGUAGGACAUGGCAGCUGAUCCUGCCCCUUCCUCAGCCCUGCUAGGGCUCAGCUGGAGUGCUGUGUCCAGCUCUGGGCUCCUCGGGAUCAGUGAGAUGUGGAGUGAGCCGGUGGGGGCUGUGGACGCGAUGAAGGGACUGGAGCAUCUCUCGUACGAGGAGCGGCUGUGGGCUGGGGCUGUUCAGCCUCCAGAGCAGACCCAGGUGCCCAAGCACUGAGCUGACUGCCCAGGGAAAGUGUGGGGUCUCCCUCCCUGGGGACAUUCCAGAAGCAUCUGGACACAAUCCUGUGCCCUGUGCUCUGGGAUGGCGCUGCCGGAGCAGGAAGGUGGGAGCUGAUGGCCCGAUGGAUUUGGACUCAGGACUUGAUCCCUCCCGACUGAAUUUCCAAAGAUUUCUCCUCCUGAGGCAGCCUUAGUUCAGCCCUAAGAAUUGAAUUUGGGACACAAUUGACUUGUUCAGUCUUCUUCCUGGGUAUGCUAAAGGAUUUGGAAUCCCCUUAUGAUCACCUCUAAUUAAAAGCAUUGCUUUAAACCUAA